rnacentral:lncRNA from 1 species
GAGGAGAUGGAGGAAGGCCACUUUGAUGCAGAUGGCAACUAUUUCCUGAACCAGGAUUCGCAGAUCCGAGACAGCUGGCUGGACAACAUUGACUGGGUGAGGAUCAAGGAACGGCCACCUGAUAAGCAGCAGGUUUCGGACUCAGAGGAGGAAGGCAGCCUGGGUCAGACUCCAAUGAGUGUCCAAGCCCUCCUGGAGGGACUUCUGGAGUUGUUACUGCCAAGAGAGACAGUGGCUGGGGCACUUAGGCGUCUGGGGGCCCGAGGAGGAGGCGGUCAGUUCUACAAUUCCAAGCGCAUUGAUUUUGAUCUCUACACAUGAGCCCGCUAAGGGCCCCGUUUGGCAGCCCCUUCUUUCUUGAACUUGGCAGAGGAGGUCCCAACUGCCCUGGGCAGUGAGGAUAUUGGAGGCCACUCUAAAGCCAGUGUCUCUUUGUCAAUAAAAGCCUUGAGUAUGC